rnacentral:lncRNA from 1 species
GCCACCAUAGCUUCCUGACUUAUUUUCUUUCCUCUAGAGUCAAAGUCCCAGGGAUGCAGGUGUCUAUACAUUUUCCUCAUGGAUGCAUCUAGAACAUUGAUUUGCACUUAACAAUGCUGUGAUGUCAUGGAUGCAUUAGGUCCCAGCUCCCAGCCUGGCCUCAGAAAAUUCUCCAUCAAGAAAACUCCAGUUUGUGCUGUUGCACAUUAAAACAAAUCCCAGACUCAGCUCUGUACCUGGCGAGGGUAUGGGUGGCAUCCUCGCCACACUAAGGCCUCAUCUGAGCCCG